rfam:Brachypodium distachyon strain Bd21 chromosome 4, whole genome shotgun sequence.
CUAGUACUCCCUCCGUCGAACAAAAGAUGUCUCAAGUUUGUCAAAAUUUGGAUGUAUCUAGACAUGGCUUAAUGUACAAAUGCAUUCAAAUUUAGUCAAAGUUGAGACAUCUUUUGUUGAACAGAGGAAGUUAGUG